rnacentral:rRNA from 1 species
CCUGCUUUCUUUGCUGGCGACCGGCGCACGGGUGAGUAACACGUAUCCAACCUGCCCUUUACUCGGGGGUAGCCUUUCGAAAGAAAGAUUAAUACCCGAUAGCAUAAUGAUUCCGCAUGGUUUCAUUAUUAAAGGAUUCCGGUAAAGGAUGGGGAUGCGUUCCAUUAGGUUGUUGGUGAGGUAACGGCCCACCAAGCCUUCGAUGGAUAGGGGUUCUGAGAGGAAGGUCCCCCACAUUGGAACUGAGACACGGUCCAA